AUUGAACGCUGGCGGCAGGCUUAACACAUGCAAGUCGAGCGGGGGAAGGUAGCUUGCUACCGGACCUAGCGGCGGACGGGUGAGUAAUGCUUAGGAAUCUGCCUAUUAGUGGGGGACAACAUCUCGAAAGGGAUGCUAAUACCGCAUACGUCCUACGGGAGAAAGCAGGGGAUCUUCGGACCUUGCGCUAAUAGAUGAGCCUAAGUCGGAUUAGCUAGUUGGUGGGGUAAAGGCCUACCAAGGCGACGAUCUGUAGCGGGUCUGAGAGGAUGAUCCGCCACACUGGGACUGAGACACGGCCCAGACUCCUACGGGAGGCAGCAGUGGGGAAUAUUGGACAAUGGGGGAACCCUGAUCCAGCCAUGCCGCGUGUGUGAAGAAGGCCUUAUGGUUGUAAGGCACUUUAAGCGAGGAGGAGGCUACUCUAGUUAAUACCUAGGGACAGUGGACGUUACUCGCAGAAUAAGCACCGGCUAACUCUGUGCCAGCCGCCGCCGUAA
rnacentral:rRNA from 1 species